rnacentral:rRNA from 1 species
UACGAAGGGGGCGAGCGUUGUUCGGAAUUACUGGGCGUAAAGGGCGCGCAGGCGGCGAGUUUUGUCAGGCGUGAAAGCCCCGGGCUCAACCUGGGAACUGCAUUUGAAACUGGCAGGCUUGAGUAUGGCAGAGGGGGGUGGAAUUCCGCGUGUAGCAGUGAAAUGCGUAGAGAUGCGGAGGAACACCGAUGGCGAAGGCAGCCCCCUGGGCCAAUACUGACGCUCAGGCACGAAAGCGUGGGGAGCAAACAGG